rnacentral:rRNA from 1 species
UGGGGGAUAUUCCACAAUGGGCGAAAGCUUGAUGCAGCGCCGCCGCGUGGGGGAUGAAGGCUUUCGGGUGGUAAACCUCUUUCGCUACCGACCAAGGCCCGCUUAGGGUGGGUUGAGGGUAGGUGGAGAAGAAGCGCCGGCUAACUCCGUGCCAGCAGCCGCGGUAAUACGUAGGGCGCGAGCGUUGUCCGGAAUUAUUGGGCGUAAAGGGCUUGUAGGCGGCUUGUUGCGCCUGCUGUGAAAACGCGGGGCUUAACUUCGCGCGUGCAGUGGGUACGGGCAGGCUUGAGUGUGGUAGGGGUGACUGGAAUUCCAGGUGUAGCGGUGGAAUGCGCAGAUAUCUGGAGGAACACCGAUGGCGAAGGCAGGUCACUGGGCCAUUACUGACGCUGAGGAGCGAAAGCAUGGGUAGCGAACAGG